UGUGUAGGCGGUUCUUUAAGUUUGGUGUGAAAUCUCCCGGCUCAACUGGGAGGGAGCGCCGAAUACUGAGGGACUAGAGUACGGGAGAGGAAAGUGGAAUUCCUGGUGUAGCGGUGAAAUGCGUAGAUAUCAGGAGGAACACCGGUGGUGUAGACGGCUUUCUGGACCGUAACUGACGCUGAGACACGAAAGCGUGGGUAGCAAACAGGAUUAGAUACCCUGGUAGUCCACGCCCUAAACGAUGCAUAUUUGGUGUGGGCAGUUCAUUCUGUCCGCGCCGGAGCUAACGCGUUAAAUAUGCCGCCUGGGGAGUACAGUCGCAAGGCUGAA
rnacentral:rRNA from 1 species